rnacentral:snRNA from 1 species
AAUGUUAGGCUUUAUAUGUUUGUAUGUCGCUUAAAUCUUUCGCCUUUAACUAAAGUUUUCCGUGGGGAGGAACAAUACAAAUAUCAAUAACUUUUAUGACACCUUGCUUUACUGCGGUGC